ensembl:lncRNA
CUGACACCUGCUGCAUCGAUGUCACGGGUGAAAAUGCUUUGGGGCUGUGUGGGCCUGCCGAGCACCUAGUGGGGGCUUUGGAGAGGUGUCAAUAGCCUGCCCGAUGCCUUUGUUCUAAUCAACUGUGAUGAGGAUGCCUGACUUUCCACCCCACUUCUCUGGCCUCCAGUUAACUGAAAAACAGGUCCCUGGAUACCCAGCUUCCAGCCUGAUUCUCUUGACUCCUUGAAGAACUUGCACAAGCCAUUCUUUACAGAUGUGCUUAAAGAUCUUGAGAUGACCAGAUCAUUCUGCAUCACCCAAGUG